rnacentral:lncRNA from 1 species
AAUUGUACAAGCAGCCUCUACAUUUCAAAAACAGAAUCCAUUGAUAAGAGUCCAUUUUAAAGAAACGUCUCCAGGCUUGGGGCAUGAGAUCAUGCCUGUCAAAUAAUUUGUCAGUCUCCAGAUUAGUAAUGGGUGACUUGGCACCCUGGCUGAUGAGCUGGCAAGAGAGAAGCUAUCGUGUGUCAUAUCAGAGACCGCCACAGACACCCAGGGCAAUGUGAUUUGUCACUUGAAGGAGGAGACAGCCUGAGAGCGCCCCAUCCUCCGGCUGCUGAGUCACCCCGCUCCGGUAGUUAUUUAAACAGAAGCCUCCAGCAUACACGCGAUCAACACUCCACUGAGACAAUGGCCAGACCUCCAGAAGUCAUGUCCAGCUCGGACUGCCCACAAGUGCAGUUUUCAAAAAUGCUUGGGGCCUCUUUUCCCCAUAUUCUCACACUGGGGUUCAGACAUCUGGCUCUUUUCCUCAAAACUGGCCUAUCCAGCCAGUCGUCCUUUGAGAAUUCCGGCCACAGAGGCCAUCAACUCCUACUGGAAGUUUUCCUGUGGUCCUUCCGAUCAGACUUUCUUAUAUUUCUUUGAAGUCAACAAAUAUUGGUUGAGCAUCUGUUAUGGGUUAGGGAUGGAGCUACAGGUAAGGGCUGGUUCAAAAACGAGACACACUGCUUGUCUUUUAGGAGCUCACAGUCCAGGGAAAGGGACAGUCAGGAAACCAGGAAACCAGGCAACCACCAUAUAUAUACAAAGGGAUGGCUCUAAGGUGCUCUCUUCUGUGUGUCAGAUGAGGACUCCCUUCACAUUUGGCUGUCAUCUAUCAGCCACAACCGUCCUGUCCCAAAGAGCUGGCUUUGGCUUUAAAGCCUGCUUCCUGGCUGGGCUUCUCCACCACUCCAUUAAGGAUACCAUUUGA